rnacentral:misc_RNA from 1 species
GAUGAAGAACGCAGCGAAAUGCGAUACGUAAUGUGAAUUGCAGAAUUCAGUGAAUCAUCGAGUCUUUGAACGCACAUUGCGCCCCCUGGUAUUCCGGGGGGCAUGCCUGUCCGAGCGUCAUUGCUGCCCUCAAGCACGGCUUGUGUGUUGGGCCUCCGUCCUCCUCCCGGGGGACGGGCCCGAAGGCAGCGGCGGCACCGCGUCCGGUCCUCGAGCGUAUGGGGCUUCGUCACCCGCUCUUGUAGGCCCGGCCGGCGCUUGCCGACACAUCAAUCUUUUUUCCAGGUUGACCUCGGAUCAGGUAGGGAUACCCGCUGAACUUAAGCAUAUCAAUAAGCGGAGGA